GUACCCGCUGAACUUAAGCAUAUCAAUAAGCGCAGGAAAAGAAACCAACAGGGAUUACCUCAGUAACGGCGAGUGAAGCGGUAAUAGCUCAAAUUUGAAAUCUGGCCUCUCGGGGUCCGAGUUGUAAUUUGUAGAGGAUGUUUUGGGUACCGCCCCGGUCUAAAUUUCUUGGAACAGAAUGUCACAGAGGGUGAGAAUCCCGUCUUGGACCGGCGGUAGGGCCUGUGUAAAACUCCUUCGACGAGUCGAGUUGUUUGGGAAUGCAGCUCAAAAUGGGUGGUAAAUUUCAUCUAAAGCUAAAUA
rnacentral:rRNA from 1 species